AAAAAUUUUAUAUAAUUGGGUGGAACAAGUCAGAAACAAAAGUGGAACAAAUGCAGAGAGAUGAGCCUGCUGCUGCUACUGUGGAAUUAAAACAACAGAACAUUGCUUAUCCUGGGCUGGGGUGGGAGUUAAAAGCUGAGGAAGAACUUCCCUCAAAGUCUUUGGUCAAAGCAUGGAUUCUCUGCAGUCCUGGGUAUUUGGGUCUACAGACAUGGAUGGCCUCGAGUCUUCACUGACGUGUAUUGCCAAUGAUACAGGAAUAAUGACAACAUAUAUGAUAAAAUUGAAAAGAUGAUCAAGGCUUUGUGUUUGUGGGGAAAAAAAGAAAAGGAAAACCAAGAAGUGAUUUAUCUAAGAUAUGCAUGCAAUUACCGCAAAAAAGAAUCAAAGUUGAAGUACUCCAUCAAUUCCCCCAAAUCACAUCCCAGGCAUGGCAAGCAAUCAGGCCUGAUGUUGGGGAUGAGACAGAGCUGCAUAAGUGAGGUGUAUGAAUAAGGAGGUGCAGCUUUUGCCAUAUUUUCUUUAAAAAAGAGGUGAACAAACAUACCCCCAGCUUGUGAGGGGCUGCUAUACACAUUGGAGAGAAUAUACAGGCAUUCCCCCAUCUCCCUCUAAAUACAAUAGUAAAGGAUACUUUUUUUUUAGCAUUGUGAACUGACUUUAGGUGCCC